GUCUUUGGCCAUGCCACCCUGAACAAGCCUGAUCCCGUCUGAUCCGGAAGCUAAGCAGGGUCGGGCCUGGUUAGUACUUAAAUAGGAGACCACCUAGCAAGACCAGGUGCUGUAGGUG
rnacentral:rRNA from 1 species